CUUGAUUUAAUUUUGAACGAGUGGCGGACGGGUGAGUAACACGUGGGUAACCUGCCCUUAAGUGGGGGAUAACAUUUGGAAACAGAUGCUAAUACCGCAUAAAUCCAAGAACCGCAUGGUUCUUGGCUGAAAGAUGGCGUAAGCUAUCGCUUUUGGAUGGACCCGCGGCGUAUUAGCUAGUUGGUGAGGUAACGGCUCACCAAGGCAAUGAUACGUAGCCGAACUGAGAGGUUGAUCGGCCACAUUGGGACUGAGACACGGCCCAAACUCCUACGGGAGGCAGCAGUAGGGAAUCUUCCACAAUGGACGCAAGUCUGAUGGAGCAACGCCGCGUGAGUGAAGAAGGCUUUCGGGUCGUAAAACUCUGUUGUUGGAGAAGAAUGGUCGGCAGAGUAACUGUUGUCGGCGUGACGGUAUCCAACCAGAAAGCCACGGCUAACUACGUGCCAGCAGCCGCGGUAAUACGUAGGUGGCAAGCGUUAUCCGGAUUUAUUGGGCGUAAAGCGAGCGCAGGCGGUUUUUUAAGUCUGAUGUGAAAGCC
rnacentral:rRNA from 2 species